UACAGAGGGUGCGAACGUUGCUCGGAAUUACUGGGCGUAAAGCGCAUGUAGGCGGAUCGAUAAGUCGGGCGUGAAAUCCCCAGGCUCAACCUGGGAACUGCGCUCGAAACUGUAGGUCUUGAGUGUCGGAGAGGAUGGCGGAAUUCCUGGUGUAGAGGUGAAAAUUCGUAGAUAUCAGGAGGAACACCGGUGGCGAAGGCGGCCAUCUGGACGACAACUGACGCUGAGAUGCGAAAGCGUGGGGAGCAAACAGG
rnacentral:rRNA from 1 species